CUGAAGCAGGAAAGCAAGGAGGUACAGCUUGAAUGGGCACUGAUCCAGAAAUAUUUGGUUGACUGCAACAAGAAUGAUAAAGACCAGGAACCUCAGGACCCAGAAUCAUCUGGUCUCAGAAAGUGCAAGAGAGCUGGAACUGGACACACACCAGUAAGAGAGCUUCCUGAGGAAUAAGUUGCUUUCUCAGGAGUCCCUGAUGACAAACAUCCUGAAUGAAAACACGACUUGAGAGACAACUUGGGAGACCACCUUUCAUUAUGUGUGCUAGAGGAGAAACAGCAAUACAUCUGUGCUUCUAAAUAUUCCUAAAUGUUCUUG
ensembl:lncRNA